rnacentral:rRNA from 1 species
UUGAACGCUGGCGGCAUGCCUUACACAUGCAAGUCGAACGGCAGCACGGGGGCAACCCUGGUGGCGAGUGGCGAACGGGUGAGUAAAGCAUCGGAACAUGCCCUGAAGUGGGGGAUAACGUAGCGAAAGUUACGCUAAUACCGCAUAUUCUGUGAGCAGGAAAGCAGGGGAUCGCAAGACCUUGCGCUUUGGGAGUGGCCGAUGUCGGAUUAGCUUGUUGGUGAGGUAAAGGCUCACCAAGGCAACGAUCCGUAGCGGGUCUGAGAGGAUGAUCCGCCACACUGGGACUGAGACACGGCCCAGACUCCUACGGGAGGCAGCAGUGGGGAAUUUUGGACAAUGGGCGAAAGCCUGAUCCAGCCAUGCCGCGUGAGUGAAGAAGGCCUUCGGGUUGUAAAGCUCUUUCGGCGGGGAAGAAAUCGCAUUCACUAAUACUGGAUGUGGAUGACGGUACCCGAACAAGAAGCACCGGCUAACUACGU